ensembl:lncRNA
CAGAAGCACUAGCGGCUUACGUGGACGUCACCGGCCGGAAGUGAAUGAAACAGUCUCACGCUAAACACGCAGCGUAGAGGGUCACAUUGGAAGCACGUUAGUGUUUCAUAAAAAUAAACAAUCUAGUAACUAAUUACAGUAACUGAGGUGUAAAUGGAUCUGUCUUAACCAGUCUGCUCUGCACACAGAUGAAAGCCCAUCAUCAGUCAGAUAUCAGUAAUUACAAUGAUGUUUGGUGGAGCUUUGAGACGCGGGACGAGAGCUAAUUACUGUUUGACAGAAGCAGACACAUUCCUUCGGUCGGUUCUUCUCCUGGACACAGAAUCACACUGAUGUUCAUGCGCUCGUAUCGUACUGAGAUGACGAGUCCAGCACACAAACCUGUCUUCUCAGGAGAACGGCGCUCUGAAAGAGUGUCUGAUGCUCCAUUAUCAGGAUCCUGUGUUCUUCGAGGAGUGCAAGCAGGAGUAUCUCAGAGAGGAACACGAAUACGAAGAGAGGGAUUCCAGCCAAGAACAGACAGCAGAAGCUUCCCACCAGCGUGUGAUGAAGAACACCGCAGUGAGGAGGAGGAGGAUGGACCAUGAAACUCAUUUCUGGCUGUUUUUGGAGACGCUGUUGUCUCUGAUGGACGUUCUCUGUAUCUGUUGCAUUGCUGCGGUUUAUAUUCAUGAUUAGCUCUUACCCACCAAAAGCCUAAUAGAAAUUCAUAGAGAAUGUAUUUGAAUCACAUCAGAUGUGUAUCGUCCCAGCGACCCCCGGGAAUUACUGCCACAGAACCUGCUUUUGAUUGUUUGUUUUAAAACAACCUCAGAGUUAUUCAUGACGCUCAUGUUCGGAUGGAUUUUCAAUCAGUCUGUGCUUCAAAUUCAGGAAGUUGUUCAAUUAGAACCUCCAGGAAUGAUUGUUCAAUUUCUGUAAUUAAGUGUCUGUAAUUGUUUGUAGCACUGUAGCAACAUAAAAAAAAAGCAAAAUAUAAUAUAAAUAGCUAGUGAUAUUGUGUACUUGUAAUAAUAUAUACAGCACAGGUCAAAAGUUUGGAAACAUUACUAUUUUUAAUGUUUUUGAAAGAAGUCUCUUCUGCUCAUCAAGCCUGCAUUUAUUUGAUCAAAAAUACAGAAAAAACUGUAAUAUUGUGAAAUAUUAUUACAACUUAAAAUAAUAGUUGUCUAUUUGAAUAUACUUUAAAAAAUAAUUUAUUCCUGUGAUGCAAAGCUGAAUUUUCAGCAUCAUUACUCCAGCCUUCAGUGUCACAUGUAACAUCCAGUCUAUCACAUGAUCAUUUAGAAAUCAUUCUAAUAUUCUGAUUUAUUAUGAGUGUUGGAAACAGUUCUGCUGUCUAAUAUAUUUGAUGAAUAAAAGGUUAAAAAGAACUGCA